UCCUAUGCCGUCCUAACCAGAUCAGCUCAAACAAGACCAGCUGACUCCAAGUUCCUGGAAAACAACUCCGGCUGCUUGGAGGACAUAAUAUCCACAUGAGUUUAUUCUACCUGGAGUACUUCUCAGCAUGGGUAUCAUCUUCACUCUACAAGCUUUCUGGAUUUCCUGAGGCAGGCUUCCAGGAUCAAGUCCAAAGAACUUAACCGGGCCACCCAUCUGUCUUCACGGGAACUCCUCUAAUGGAGAAUAAGG